ACCGCAUAAUGCAGCGGCACCUAAUGGUGACAGUUGUUAAAGCGGGGGAUCGAAAGACCUCGCGUCUGAAGAGGAGCCUGCGGCGGAUUAGCUAGUUGGUAAGGUAACGGCUUACCAAGGCGACGAUCCGUAGCCGGCCUGAGAGGGCGGUCGGCCACACUGACACUGACAUACGGGUCAGACUCCUACGGGAGGCAGCAGUCGGGAAUUUUGGGCAAUGGGCGAAAGCCUGACCCAGCAACGCCGCGUGAAGGAUGAAAUCCCUCGGGAUGUAAACUUCGCAAGAACGGGAAGAAUAAGCCGGUGUCAACACCACCGGCGAUGACGGUACUGUUUGUAAGCUCCGGCUAACUCCGUGCCAGCAGCCGCGG
rnacentral:rRNA from 1 species